rnacentral:rRNA from 1 species
CGAGAGUUUUUAACUCAAGUGGCGGACGGGUGAGUAACACGUAAGAAUUUGCUUUUAGGAGGGGGACAACAACUGGAAACGGUUGCUAAUACCCCAUAUGCUUUCGAGUGAAAUGGAUUUUUCCGCCUAGAGAGAAGCUUGCGGCUGAUUAGCUUGUUGGUGAGGUAAUGGCUCACCAAGGCGACGAUCAGUAUCUGGUUUGAGAGGACGAUCAGACACACUGGAACUGAGACACGGUCCAGACUCCUACGGGAGGCAGCAGUGGGGAAUUUUCCGCAAUGGGCGAAAGCCUGACGGAGCAAUACCGCGUGAGGGAUGACGGCCUAUGGGUUGUAAACCUCUUUCUUCAGGGAGGAAUAAAAUGACGUGUACCUGAAGAAUAAGCAUCGGCUAACUCCGUGCCAGCAGCCGCGGUAAGACGGAGGAUGCAAGUGUUAUCCGGAAUCACUGGGCGUAAAGCGUCUGUAGGUGGUCCAAUAAGUCAACUGUUAAAUCUUGAGGCUCAACCUCAAAACCGCAGUCGAAACUAUUAGACUAGAGUAUAGUAGGGGUAAAGGGAAUUUCCAGUGGAGCGGUGAAAUGCGUAGAGAUUGGAAAGAACACCGAUGGCGAAGGCACUUUACUGGGCUAUUACUAACACUCAGAGACGAAAGCUAGGGUAGCAAAUGGGAUUAGAUACCCCA